UAAUACGGAGGGUGCGAGCGUUGUUCGGAAUUAUUGGGCGUAAAGCGCGCGUAGGCGGUUCGAGAAGUCUCGUGGUGAAAGGCCGGGGCUCAACCCCGUGCUGGCCGGAGAUACUCUUGGACUGGAGACAGGGAGAGGCCAGUGGAAUUCCGGGUGUAGCGGUGGAAUGCGUAGAGAUCCGGAAGAACACCGGAGGCGAAGGCGGCUGGCUGGCCCUGAUCUGACGCUGAGGUGCGAAAGCGUGGGGAGCGAACAGGAUUAGAUACCCUGGUAGUCCACGCCGUAAACGAUGGGCACUAGAUGCUGGGGGGAUCGACCCUCUCGGUGUCGGAGCUAACGCGUUAAGUGCCCCGCCUGGGGAGUACGGCCGCAAGGCUG
rnacentral:rRNA from 1 species